rnacentral:rRNA from 1 species
AUGCAACAACUACGCCUUGUUCGUAACAUGAGAGCCGACAACGAUCCAUGGUUUGCGGAAUUCCUCAUGCGCAUAGGAAAUGGCACGAAGGAGACCGAUGAAGAAAAUAAUGUACAACUUCCAGAGGAUAUUUGUGUGCCCUGCACAGGGAAGGACACUGACCUUGACAUGAUGAUUGAACGCGUCUACCAUGAUCUAGAUGAGAACCAAACCGAUCCUACUUAUAUUACCACAAGGGCGAUACUGACGACUAGGAACGAGAAUGUUGAUAGGAUAAACAUGAGGAUGAUCGAACACUUCCCAUGUCAAGAUGAUAUAUCACAGCUUUGA